GAUGAACGCUGGCGGCGUGCCUAAUACAUGCAAGUCGAGCGAACAGAUGAGGAGCUUGCUCCUCUGACGUUAGCGGCGGACGGGUGAGUAACACGUGGAUAACCUACCUAUAAGACUGGGAUAACUUCGGGAGACCGGAGCUAAUACCGGAUAAUAUAUUGAACCGCAUGGUUCAAUAGUGAAAGACGGUUUUGCUGUCACUUAUAGAUGGAUCCGCGCCGCAUUAGCUAGUUGGUAAGGUAACGGCUUACCAAGGCAACGAUGCGUAGCCGACCUGAGAGGGUGAUCGGCCACACUGGAACUGAGACACGGUCCAGACUCCUACGGGAGGCAGCAGUAGGGAAUCUUCCGCAAUGGGCGAAAGCUUGACGGAGCAACGCCGCGUGAGUGAUGAAGGUCUUCGGAUCGUAAAACUCUGUUAUUAGGGAAGAACAAAUGUGUAAGUAACUAUGCACGUCUUGACGGUACCUAAUCAGAAAGCCACGGCUAACUACGUG
rnacentral:rRNA from 1 species